UUGCCCUCCCCCACCGACCUGCUAAACGCGAAGAACCUUACCUACUCUUGACAUCUAGCGAAGAUUGCAGAGAUGCAGUUGUGCCUUCGGGAACGCUAAGACAGGUGCUGCAUGGCUGUCGUCAGCUCGUGUUGUGAGAUGUUGGGUUAAGUCCCGCAACGAGCGCAACCCUUAUCGUAUGUUGCCAGCAUUUAGUUGGGCACUCGUGCGAGACUGCCGGUGAUAAGCCGGAGGAAGGCGGGGACGACGUCAAGUCAUCAUGGCCCUUACGUGUGGGGCUAGAAACGUGCUACAAUGGGAGUGACAGUGAGCAGCAAGGUCGCGAGGCCAAGCUAAUCUCCAAAAGCUCUCUCAGUUCAGAUUGUAGUCUGCAACUCGACUACAUGAAGUUGGAAUCGCUAGUAAUCGCAAAUCAGCAUGUUGCGGUGAAUACGUUCCCGGGUCUUGUACACACCG
rnacentral:rRNA from 1 species